rnacentral:ncRNA from 1 species
CCUGCGCGCCUUGCUUCAGGUGCCCCGCGUUGCUGUAACUGGCGACUUAGGGGUGAAACAGGGAAGCCGGUUCGCAUGCCGGCGCUGCCCCCGCAACGGUAGGUGAGUCAAAUGCCGCUUCAGGCCACUGUGCAGUGCACGGGAAGGCGCGGCGGGGCGUGAUUGGCGCCGCUCAUGAGCCCGGAGACCGGCCUGUCGCAGUUUCACGGCA